CGCCGAUGCUUGAAUCAUUAAUUACAGUGUAGUCCAGAUAUAUUAAAUAGAGCAAGGGAUUCCCAAAUGGCUGUGUAUGGCAAAGCUGAUUCUUGGGAAUAUACUCAAAAGUAUACCAAACUGGCCCAGAAGCUGAAAUUCCAUUUUGUUAUUCAUCUUGGAGGGUGUCAAGUUUCAAACAAAGACAUUAUUGACAUUGUCGAAAGGGCC